CGUUCUAGCCAUUUACAGUGGUGCCAGAGUGUUGGCCGGAACUGCUGCGGCUGUUCCUGUAAGCGAGUCGUGGAUUUCUGGAAUGCUUCGCCAACCACCAGUUUUCGGAGACUCGAAGCUGCCCGCCGGGCGAGCAAUGAAGUUCCGACCGGAGUAAGUUGAAAGUUGAAGUAGAGUAAGUUGAAAGGAGGAAUCGGAAUUGAAGGCAUUUCUAACAAUCUCCCGCCUUAUCAGCUAAACUACAACCAUGGACCAUUGUCGAUCUCGACAAGUUUCCUGCGAUUGCCAUAUUAUCCGUCACUUGGGCCAAACGGUGCGGGUCCACGCAACAGCAGUCAAAACGUACCGUUUUGUUAUUCGAUUGGUGGUUCCCUCCGUUGGCCGACGACGGGGAUCUAUCCUCGGUGGAGGUCGGUUCCGAAUCGAGCCUUGCUCAAGCCCUCCGUACUGGUUUCCCGUCAUACCUCGUGGCAUUAUCCGCCAAAGACGACAGAGCUGCUAACCGUUCGAAGACGCGCAAAUUCCCACCGCAAGCGGAUUGCCUAAACGGUGCCCCCGUCGUACGCUUAAAAUUACCGGCUUGCGGCAUUCGUUCCACGACACCACCACUGCGCUGGCUUUGGCGGACCAAGGUCGUUUGGUUAAGAAAUUUUGCGGGCCAGUGCAGAUUGUAGCAGAGCCAACCUGGAUGAGUUGGCCAACACAACAGCAGAUGAUCCCGUCCUACGAUGCAAGGCAAUACGGGCCAACAUGCGCGACCAAUCAAUAUUUGUGUGCGAUCAUCACGGAUUACAAGUCUUACUAUGGUCAACCGAUGACGUUUACAAUUAAACGGUAAUAAAAGAAUGAUUUAUGCUUUGUUUAAACUAAUAGAUUCGGUCCUGUUUCAGUUCAAUUCGCAGCUAAAAAAGCUAUUUAGCAAAACUUUUGUAAUACACUUACAGUAUCACUUGAUAUCGAUUGAAGAAGAACUGUAAAAACCUUUAAGAAGCUGUAACCGGAUGUCAAAGUUCUGGUAUGCCAACAUUAGGUUCUCGAUGGGAAUUGAUAAAGUUCCCCUAUACCCCCGUUGGAUUUAGAUUUUGAUUUAUUUUUCAUAAGCUAUGAUUUGUACGUUUUUUAUCACUAGGAAUUGGAUGCUUUUGUUUUGUUUUGAGAAUAAAUCAAUUUAAAACUAAACAAUAAGCAUUUCUUACAAAUCGUAAUGCUUUUGAAAAUUACAUCAGAUUCUAGAUUCAACGGGGUAAAAAAAUUUACAUCUUCGGUAAAUUUACGUCGAUUUCAUCGGAAAUUUACAAGUUUUGAAGUCCCUUUUGGUUCGGCUCGUUUACGAUGGAUGGCAUGUAAAUUUAAAAUGAAUCUUAUUUAAAUUAGCAUCAUUAAUGACGUGCACUUUUGGUACAUCAUAAAUGAUGUAAAUUUACCGAAUUUUUUUUUUCUGUGUAGGUUCCCGACGAACACGCACUGCCCUUACACCUACAUCUUACCCUUGCUCUGAAUAAGUACGAGCAAUACGCUAGAACACGCUUUGAGUGUUCGUGCCAGGCAUGCACACCUUCUUUUCCGGUUACGCAUUUUAACUCGGCCGGGGGUGGUACAUUGCGUAGGGUUUGAUGUAAGUAUAAGCGCUUAACCAUUUAAAGUGUGCCUAUCAACUUUCACUAAAGCAAAAACUGUUAGAUUUAAGUUUGAAUUCAAAAACUAGUUGUUAUUUUACUGUGUAUUGUUUUCUCCUGAAAUCUUUCCUAGUGUUGAGUCGUGUUUAUCUGUUGCUAUGAAAAAUUGUGUAUUAAUUGCAAUUAAACGAAUUUCAGCACAAAAAGGAAUCCGCAUCUGCCGGUUGUUGCCUUCUUGAAGCCACUGAAGGAAUUUUUGAUUUAAAUCAAUUGUGCUUCAAAAUUUAUAUAAUUUUGUGGCACAGUCAUUGACGUCCUAGCUGGCAAUCAUUGAUUAAUUACGACUUGAGCAUGAGCAUGAGUUUUGUGACCUCGACAUUUAUUAAACAAAUAACUGAACAGUACAACGAAUUAAAACUAGCUGCGCCAAACGCGCCGGCUGCGCGCGAUGGCGGCUGGAGCUCUUUUGGUGGAUGUCGAGCUCUUGUGACAUCAUCGCUGUGUGGUAGCUUCACUACCACCAGUGAGUCUAGCUGACGAGGGAUGUCCAUUUCUUGCGUAUGCAACAAUGAGCAUGAGAGACCACCCAUGGUUGUCCUUCUCCGUUGCUGAACAGGACCGUAAUAUCCUAUCAAUACAACUGACCAUACGCUUAAACGAUCUAAUGGUGUUUCCCUUAUCAACAGCAUGUAUGAAUGCGUUUAAAAGAUAAAACAUCAAGAUCAUUAAAACUAGAUCUGAAGCAAAUAGGUUACAGUCAUUGGCCACCAACGGCGCCCGCCAUGUCAGUUUGUAGAUCUCGGGGGGAUUGGGACGGGAAUGUUAGUUAGCACAGGUUGCUACAAAGGUCGGGUUCUAUACGAUAUCCACACCCCCACGUGUGCCGGAAAACUACUUCUACUUGGGAUUUUGUUAGUGGGAAAGUGUAAUGGCCAGGAUUCAUCAUAAAGGAUGAUGCGACCCAAUAAUCAAUAAAUUUUGUUUAAUGAUGUGAUGUAUUAUGCAUUCUCAAGGCAAACAGUCGAAGGAUGCGGAUGAGAUUAUUCCCGGUUUUUUGGUGUUGAGUUUAGCAUAAAUGAUUCAAUCUUAGACAGCCGGCUGUGGAAAGAUAAAACCAAAUAAAAUGCGAAAACGCGAAACCGCUCGGACCGAAAAACACACACAAUCGGGGGGAAAAAGACGGAAACGGCAACGAAAAUCCGGCUUGCUGACCGCGACGCGAACCGUUCAAAUUCUCCAAAGCAACUGUCAAACAUCGCAUCGAAAUACACACACAAUCGGGGGGGAAACAGAGACGGAAACGGUAACGAAAAUCCGGCUUGUUUACCGCGACGCGAACCGUUCAAAAUCUCCAAAGCAACUGUCAAACAUCCCGAAAUCACCCGGGUCGAAAUACACACACAAUCGGGGGGGAAACAAAGACGGAAACGGCAACGAAAAUCCUGCGUGUUGACCGCGACGCGAACCGUUCAAAUUCUUCAAAGCAACUGUCAAACAUCCCGAAAUCACCCGGGUCGAAAUACACACACAAUCGGGGGGGAAACAAAGACGGAAACGGCAACGAAAAUCCGGCUUGUUUACCGCGACGCGAACCGUUCAAAUUCUUCAAAGCAACUCAUUGAUUAAUUACGAUUUCCAUAACUUAACAAGGAAUGGGAUAAUCGUUACCAAAAGGAAUUAGCAUGUGUAGGGCAUGAUUCUAAACAACUUGUUGAAGGAAUUUUGUCAAAAUAUUGAAAGCGACGCAAAAUUUAUAACUUUGAAGAAAAAAUCAUGACAAUGAUGGAAGUCUUCACGUUAACCAUUCCAUAAAUUGAGUAUGGGCUCAAACAUCACUUGUUUGAAAAAGGGUGAAGAUUGAAAACAAUAGAAAUAUACAGUAAAAGAGAAUAUAUUUUAACAAAAAUCAAGAUUCAAUAGUAAGAGAAUGAUGAUUGUAUUUUAAAGAAUAAAAAUUAGAAGCUGGAUGUAGUAGAUGUAAAGUUAGACAAUAGUUAAUUAAUAGCGAUAAAAAAAAAACAAGCUUAGAUGAUAGUAAUGAUAAUUUAUAGGACAGAUAAACAAUUAUUCGAAUAAAUAAAUUCGAAAUAAAAUCAAAAAAAGAUUAGGCAAAUUAUAAAUAGACUUGAUAUCACUACACAGAAAAAAAUAUGUGAAUUUACUCGACACGGAAAAAAUGAAUCACAUGUGAACUCAGUUCAUGUAAACUUGAGAUUCGACGUAAACGGUUGAAUCACACGUAAAAUCAUGUUUUUACGUAUAAUUUGUUGCAAAUUUACAUCAAAUUGCAUUUAAAUUUAAUGGUUUAAUGACGUGCAAAAGUGUUACAUCAUAAAUGAUGUAACAUUCGGAAAUAUUUUUUUUGUGUGUAGUACAUUAAGAAAAGUAUAUUUUUAAGGAAAAAAAAACAAAGUUUGUUACAGCAGUAUCAGUUGGUAAAAAAAUGGAAAAGCUUUGAGAGAUAAGAGAAUCAAAAGUUAGUAAAAUCAAAAUCAAAUGAUGGAUAUUAAAUAGAAGAAUCAGUGAAGAAGUAAGAAUCAGUAGAGCAAAAUAAAAAUAGGAGAUAGGUGGUAGCUGAGAAUAAAGCGAAGAGAAACCCCGUUGUGCGAUGUUUCAGGUACAUCCACAGCAGUUGACUCAACAUACUGCGAAUCGAAACAAUACCGUCUACAAUCAUAAAUUACUUCCCUUUCCCACAUUGUCCCGCCCCUUUCUUACAGCCGUCUCGACUCUGUCCCGCGGUGGUCAAAGGUUUACGAGGCGUUUCCACAGGCCAUCAGCUAGGUCGUCAUGAAAACCAAGCCAACGUGGAGGUAAGAAAAUAGGAGCUAUACUGUUCUGAUCAAGAUAAUUCGGAUGAUCUAACAGAACUACGGAUGUAGUUAGUUGCGCUUCUUCCAGGAUGUUCUUUACCUGGACGUCAACCGAAGAGCACGCAACAAGAUCAGUUCCAUUGCAUGCUCUUAGGUAUCAAUCCUUGGCCUGCUAUUUUGGGAAAUUGAGUUUUUAUGAAAAAAAAAGUUAAUAAAAAAAAUCGGCCAUUUAUUUUUUCCGUGUACCAAUUUUUUUCUCAAUAGUACUCAACAAUACCUACAACUUUGCCGAAGACACCAAAUUGAUAAAAAAAAUCCCUCAAUAGUUACAGCUGUUUGAAUAUUUACGUAGCAUUUUUGUAUGGACAGCUGCCAAAAUUGUAUUGAGACUUGUAUGGGUGAACCAAUGCCGCAACAUAGGGAAGGCCCACACAAAGUUUGAGCCAAAUCAAAAAAUACAAAUAAAAUCACUUUCCGGUUUUGGUAGAGAAUUGCUCAGUGGAAUUAUUGACGCAGCUGGAACAAAUUCAAAAGGGUUCAAAUCUAACUUGCAUAACUUUUAUAAUUUCCAGUAUGCUAAAUACUCACCUGUAUGAGAAGUUUCCUUUUACAGUUUGUCAUCCGAGUGGCCAAACAGUGGCAGAAGGACACUUGCGCGGCACAGGUUCCUUCGAAUCGUCGCAAUUAAAAAAAAACUCCUAAAUCACCAGUAUACCGCUACCAAAACAAAUGGUAUGACGUCACACUUUUUGGGCUGUGACUGUGCACGGAGAGAAAAACAAAAAAAAAAUUUUCGUUGCUAAACCUGACAUAUUUUUUUCUCUCCAAUACAACUUUAGAAACAUAUCCAUACCUUUUAAGAAUGGAUUACAUUAGGAUGUACUGCGAGCAAGUGAUGCUGUUAUUCACUAUCACGUGCACCUCGGGUGAUCUCAGGUGCGUUUUAACUACUGCAGUUGAGAUCAACAGCGUCUUGAUAGCUCGAAAAAAAAACAUCGCCGGGAGCAUAACCGGUUCCUCAUCCCGCCAUUCUCCCAUUCGUCAAACGCUUGCGAUUCCAACUGGAACAUAUGCACGGUCAAUUCCUUCGGUGGGGGUUUCUUCGGAUUGGGACGACCAUCCGGAAAUGAUAGCAUUUUUCAGCACGAUGCACAGGCUUGGUACAGAGAAACGAUUCUUCUUUGACGAUUUUUCGGAUGCGUAAACAAUAUGUUGUUCCAUUUAAAUAACUUAAAUUUCUGGUAAAGAUAGCUUCCGUUCCUCUUUCGGAAGGGUCGCCUUUCCACCCACCUCCUGUAACACUUGUUUUUUACCGGUUCUCCUGCUGGCUCCCAAACAUGGACGAAAGAGUAAACAAACUUACGUUUUGUGUCCAAGAUGGCAUUCGAAUCCGUCGCGAAUCUGCUUCAGUCGGAGCAAACUUUAACUUUGCGGCCUGUACCUCGCUGUUUGCGAUGCCACCAGAUGUUCACGUCGGCCUACGUGCCAUAAGGCCGGCGUUACGUCCAGGCGGUCCUUCAUUCUGCGCGGUGACUACGUGAGUGGGUGAUUUGCAAAUCACGGAGGUGUCCUGCAGGAUGGGUAACACGCUAUUGAAUCCACUGCGACCGGUUCCGGAACAACUGCAGGAGUGGCGCGAGCAAUGUUGGGUAACCGGGAAAAAAACCGUCGUUCCAAAUCGAGGGACGUGAUAAAGGCCUUAAUAUAUUAUUUUCGGUAUUUAAUACAUAGAGGAAUUAAAUUCCUAAUGUCAUUUGAGAUUUGACAGCGCCACACCUGCUUUGAAAACAUUGGUUUGCCUCGUGUUUCUUUCGCGCGCUCGGCUGUCAAGUUUGUUUUGGUUUCGCGCUUGUAAAAAAAUGGACUUGUUAAUUAUUGUACUAUCGAAUAUUUCGAGCUGAGUUCUAGACAUUCUUGGUCUCGUUGGAUAAAAAAAGAAAGAUGCGGAGAAGAUUCUGGAGCAGGACGGUGUCAACGUGCCAUAGGCGGAGAAGAGUUGGAGCCGGCAGAAUUUGAUAACAUUGGCCAAGCAAAUCAAAAAGUUGCGAAAGUGCGGUUUCAUCGAUUACGAAGAUCCUGCGAUGGGCCUUGCAGGAUGCAAUUCAAGUUUAAAAAUAACAAUCAGACGUCGGACACCACCAAUAUUUCGUUGCAGCGGGUCGUGGCUUGUGACAGCGAUGUCUUCAACAAGCCGGCACCGGGGGAAAUGAAAUCCUGUGCAUUUACGCUCGGUUGCUGGAGUCAUUAAUCCGGCUAAUGAUUCAGGUAGCUGGCCACUUUAACGCUCGCAGGUUCAGGACCAGGGGCCAAGGAAGAACAAACAUUACCACACACAAAGAAAAAAAUAUUCUAAAUUUAAAUUUUCCAACGAACGAUGGAUUAAAAGUUCGCGUUGGUGAAUAUUCGUAGAAAGUUCAAACUUUUUAAUUUAAAAGUUGAAAAGUUUUUGAUACUACCAUGCAUUUAUGGAACAAAAUCGUUGUAUCGGUAAAAGUGUUUUACUUUUAAUUAGAUAAGAAACCUUUUAUGGCAAGAAUAAACAACUUUUAAUACUACAGUGAUAAUUUCAGAAAAAUGAGCUUGAUUUUUAUAUUUAUUUUUAAAACUUUAAAACACCAUGCUGAAAACAUUUUUUUAUUGCAUUUAACGCUUCUGCUCAAGGCCAACAUCAGAGUCCAAGCUGUACCGAUUCUUACGGUACGCCACCGGUCACUUUCGAAAACCCGUUGAUUCGGUGGUCGACGUUUCCC